CACGUAUAGCUUAGCUGGAAAAGCAGUGGCCUUCUAAACCACCGACGACCACCGACGCGGGUUCGAAUCCCGCUGCGUGCA
rnacentral:tRNA from 1 species